rnacentral:tRNA from 1 species
GCCUGGGUGGCUCAGUCGGUUGAGCAUCUGACUUUGGCUCAGGUCAUGAUCUCAUGGUCUGUGAGUUCGAGUACCACAUCAGGCU